UGAGGUUGUGCGAAACCACACCCCUCUGUUCACUAUUGUGCACUAUGCUGGGAAGGUGAGUGUGCACAAGCAUCGUCAUCACUGUUACCUAACAAUUCACUUGAUCAGUGACUUCAUUCAGAUCUACAGUGAAAUUGUUGUGCUGGUUAAUAAUUAAAUGAUUAUGCUUUUUUUUCCCAGAGGGGACUCAUUAAAAGGGUGUUUUUCUUCAUAAUGUGUGCAUUAUUCCUGCAUGAAGUGUCUUUUUGUGAUCUGUUCAGGUGCAAUACAAUGCAAGUGGAUUUCUUGAGAAAAACAGAGACACAAUACCAGCAAACAUUCGCGAGCUCUUCAUCAACAGUGUCACUCCUCUCCUCAGCGUUCUGUUCGCAGCCACAAUUUCCCGAACAGGCACACUAAUGCCGAGAAAAGCCAAGGUACUGUACAUCUAAGAUUUUUUUUUUUUUGACAUACCAGUUAACUUUAUUAGAGUCUGUUAAAACACAUGAUGUGAUAUUUCCCAGAUACCUUGAUAGGCUGGUGUUUGAACAUAUUUAUAGCUGUAUAGAUGACAAAUUACUCUCUUAACUGUGAUUAAUUCAUGCAGCGUUUCACCACAUGAUCAUGUGUGCAUUUUAAUUCUAGUUACAAGUUGCAGAUGACAACUUUAACUCAACCAGGAAGCAGUCCGUCGGCGCACAAUUCAAGGUAAAUCUUUUAUAGUUAUGUUUUAUGUGUCGGUUUAUUUAAU
ensembl:lncRNA